AUGNNNNNNNNNNNNNNNNNNNNNNNNNNUCCUUCCUCAGCCGGACGCUCUUGGGCUUCAGUUGUUGCCCCCGCAACAAACGCCCAAGCUCCAGAGUGUGUGAUGUCUUCUAAAGAUCCUGGUGAAGGUUGUGAUGGUUAUGAUGUUGUGGCAAGGUCCGCUGACGCUUUGCUUGCACCUUUUACCGCUGAGCUGCAAUCCAUGGUGGCGAAGGCGUUUCGCCCUUUGAGCUUGUUGGUGGCCCGUGCAACCAGCUUAUUGGAGCAGGCGGAGGUCUCCAAUGGUGACAAGGGGUCGAUCCAACCCUCUUUGCAGGGACCCUGCUUCUCUGACUCGAACACUCAUGGCUCGAUGUUGACUGCAUUGGCGCCAUUGGUGGAAAAAGAUGGGGACCAAGGUGUUGAGGGCAGCAUGACCACUGAGUGUAGCGUGGCCAUUUCUACCACGGGCGAAGUGAGGGAUGUUGCUGAGGGAUGUGCCUUGGCGACUGAGAGCGAGGGCACUUUGCAUGACUUCGCCGAGCUGCUCACAGGUCUGACUCCAAUCAUCCAAGGUUUGUGUCGCCUGGUCAAUGCGAAGAAGAUCAAGAAGGUCAACCAGCGGAUCAGUGCCCCCUUGGGGGACAACCCUGCAGGAUGUUAG
rnacentral:rRNA from 1 species